rnacentral:tRNA from 1 species
GGCGCCGUCGCCAAGCGGUAAGGCAGAGGUCUGCAAAACCUCCAUCCCCGGUUCGAUUCCGGGCGGCGCCUCCA